CCCUUUUAAUCAGUUUAUGAUUAGGAUGAAAAACUGAGAUAAACUACUGUGUCAACAAAACUUCUUUAAACCAUCAAAUUUACAGAGAAAGCGUGUAAAAAGGACUCGCAUUUUUUUUACAAAAUCUGGAUAUGCAAGUGAGAAAACUGGAUCAUACCAUAAAAUUUUCCUGUCUAUAAGAAUGUACCAAUAACAUGGGCUACAUGUUGAAGGGACUCCCAACACGCCCUUAAACUCAUAUUCGAAAACGUGAGUUACCGAAACGGGAGCAAGUAUGUGUGUUCAGCUAUCAACGAUGGUAACAAAGCUAAAACCUUCUUCGUGCUCACAGUUUACCGUGCAAAAUACACAGUUUCCGAUGAUGAGCAAUACAUCCGAAACUUAAUACUUUCAAAUUAUGGGAACUACAGGAGUAGGGCGUCUGUUGUCACACCUCAUAAGUCACAGAUGAAAGACAGAAAUGUUAAACUUUACAUACAGUGUUCGGUUUGAUUUUGUACGCAGUCUUUAGAAAACUAGUACUAACUCUGUAUGAGUUUUGCUUGGGGCGAAAACAACAUGACAAAUGUUUUCCUAUUUUUAGCUUCGAUUGUUUUUUAAUCAUGUCUUUUCUUACGUAAAAAAAUAAUUUUAAAUUUUUAAGGAAAAAAUCCUUUUAUUAGUAAAUAAAAAAAAUAAAAAUAUUAAGUUGCUGUUUAAUUUGCCAUGUCCUAGACUUUAAGAAAAUUAAUUAGAAAAAUUAUUUUCUUACUAUUUUGAGUCUCAUUUUUAUUCCUAUAUUAAAUUCUAUUUUUCACUUCCGCAUCUAUGCAAAGGAAGACUGUUAAAUUGUUCUACAGUGCUUGAAGAAAACUAAUAGGAUAUUAUUUAGCAUUUACUGAAACUUCUAAUGAGUCAUUUUCAAAAUUUUUAUACAGAAAAAGUAUUGAUAAAUUUUGAGUGUUGAGGAAAAAAAAAUUUAAAAAAAAUAAUAAUAAUGAAGUGCCGAAAAUAUUUUUAUCAUUAGCAUACUUUAUCAAUAGAAACAUUGUAAUUAUAUCCUAAGGAAUUCAAUUGUUUUUGUUUCUCUUUGAAAUGCAAGUGCAAAA